UUUUAUUGUCUAGUUUUAGCAGUUAGGAUUGUGAGAUGCAGCUGCCCCAAUGUCCUGCAACUACAAGUCCAUAAUCAUACCAAAUACGGCAUGAUUAUUAGAUAUUCAUAAGAAUUUUUGAGACAUUAAAUACAAAAAUUACUAUGUUGAGAAAGAAUAACUACUGAACUUGCAAUACUCCAUAAAUACACACUCUCACUUUAAAGCUAACGUGUUUCACACAUGCUUAAAACAGUAAGAAUUAGUGGAACUAAACUCAAUGUAUUUAUUACAUAUUUAGAUUUUUCCAAUAUCAAUUUUAAGAAAUUAUACAUGAGAGGAGAACACUGAAGAACAAGGACAUAAAUAAUGAUGUUUUCUUAAAGUUAUUUCAUUAAGUGCAGUGUUAUGUGAACUUUUUUCUUGCUUAGUGAUUGGCAGUUAUUUGGAGAUAACUUGAAUGAAGUUUUUAAUUCCAAACAUAGAUAUGUCAGAAUGAUGGAAUAUUAAAAACUGGUAAACCAGAGUAGUUGUAAUGAAUAUUCACUGUUAUAAUAGUAGGGAAUCCUCUUUAUAAAUCUAUUGCUAUUUACUGAAUUUCUGCCAAAUUUCAGUAAGAUAUCACAGUGUACCCAAGAAUUAUUGGCUUGACCUUUCCAAAUAUUUAUUGCAUUUUCACACAAUGUUGCCUCUCAUGUUAACUCUCUGUAAGCAGGAAUAAUAUUCUUUCUGGGAAACAAAUAACAAUGUCAUUCAUAUUCUGAUACUAUUUCAUUUUCACCCAGAAAUAAAUACCAUUGGAAAGCAGCACUGUAAUAGUCCAUAAUUAUUAUUAUGAUUCAGAAGGACAAGUUCAAAUAAAUCAGGCUAUUGAACAUCAUAGAUAUUCUACAAAUGUGUACAUUUAUCUAGAAAAUUCUAAGUCUAACCAGGAGGACUCAUUGGAACCCAAAAUAAUUUUUCCCGAGCUUCUAUCUAUUUCAAUUGUCUCUAACGUUCUCUUCCUUUGCUUUCGGAUUUGCUUCUUUAUGGCAGCUUGUUUCAAGUGAAUGAUUCAAAUGCAAGCCCAAGCUACUCAUGACAGAAUCCUCCACAGUUCAUAGGUAUGCAGUUUUAAUUGUUCAGAAGCUCUGCUUUAAGUGAGUUUUAGAGAAGAUGGUCAAAUUUUCUCUUACUAGAGGAACCACAUAUCACUCUCUGAGAACAUCAGUCUUGCAGGAGACAGUGCUAUGUCAUUCAAAGUCUUGUAGGGUGACUAAUAUGGGGCAGAUUCACUAAAGUGUCACCCACUCUAGGAGACCAUUUGGCAAUGAUUCAAUUUCUCUGUGGCCUUUGUAUGGUGGCAGCCUAUAUAAAGUAAAAUGCAAAAGCCAAGCCUCAUUCUGCUGGUUCUCUGUAGACAUCUGCUCCCAGGAGUAGCCUAUCUGCUUGUGGCUUCUUGUGAUAGUGCCAAUCUGAUGGCUCAAAUGGCACCAUUUUAGAGGAGCACAGAGUAUUUCAUAUAGGACAAAUGAUCUGUUAAUUUAAAACUUCAGGAAUUAGUUUUUUAUGAUCAUAACUAAUGUAGUAGUACAUUAAUAUUCCACCAAAAUGGAUCAAUAUUUUGUUUAGUUUCAUUAUACAAAAUAACCAUUUUUAAAUAUUUGGAAUGUUUUUUAUUUUUUAUUUAUUUUUUGUCUUUUAGGGCUGCACCUGUGGCAUAUGGAAGUUUCCAGGCUCUAAGGGUCAAAUUGGAGCUGCAGCUGCAGCCACAGCCACAGCAACUACAGAUUCGAGCUGCAUCAGCAACCUACACCACAGCUCACAGCAACGCCGGAUCCUUAACCCACUGAGCAAGGGCAGGGACCGAACCCACCACCUCAUGGUUCCUAGUCGGAUUCGUUAACCACUGCGCCACGACGGGAACUCCAACAAUCAUGCUUAUUUAAAUUAAGCCCUUUGAUGAAGCAUACAGAUCAAGGUCAGCAGGCUCCAUUCUGAGAACAUAAGGAUGUCUGUUUGCCUCCACAGGAAAGCACAUGAACACCAGGACUGAUUCUUUAGUCAUGUUCUCCUUUCAUGACUGCAUUAGGCACAAUUUAAGUUGGUAGAAAACUGACUGCUAGAUCAAUUGGAUAUUCUUAUGUUAAAAAAGCAGCACCAUGGAUGGAACUAGAGACUCUCAUACUAAGUGAAGUAAGCCAGAAAGAGAAAGACAAAUACCGUAGGUUAUCACUUAUAUCUGGAAUCUAAUACAUAGCACAAAUGAACCUUUCUACAGAAAAGAAAAUCACAGACAUAGAGAACCAACUUGUGGUUGCCAAGGAGGAAGGAGAGGAAGGGAGAUAGACUGGGAAUUUGGGAUUAAUAGAUGCAAACUAUGUCUUUGGAAUGGAUAAGCAAUGAGAUCCUGCUGUAUAGCACUGGGAACUAUAUCUAGCAUGAUAAUUCAAGAAAAAA
rnacentral:lncRNA from 1 species